CAGUUCUUUGUUAACAACACUAUUUUGAGAGGGAGGGGGCUAGAUAAAAGAAAUAAUUAUUUCAUAAGGAGAUGAGUGAAUUUUAAGAGAAUGGAAAAAAGGAAAAUAGUUUAUAUAUAACUUGUUUUUCUUCCUUCUUCCUUAAUUGUGGCUUUGUUUUUAUUCAUUGACUGAAUUUUUUGAAAACUUUUUAUUCUCAGAGAAAACUGAAGUGCCUGUACUUAAGAAGAGGCGUGAGGUGCUACCUAUGGAUAUAACCAUCCCUAAAGAUGUGUGUGCCAACAAUGCUGAUGGGGAAGAAGUUCCUAGAUUCCCACCUCAGAAAGAGAAGGCACAGUCCUGCCCUAAUAAUUUAGAAGAUGCCAACUUGCAGUUAGAAAAACCGAUUUCUACCAACAUACCCAUAGCCUCUUUUUCUCCUCACAAAAAUCUUCCCAUGGAUAUACAGCUGAAGAAAGAAAAGAAAUGUGUGAAGCUCAUAGAUGUUCCAGCUGACGCUGAGGCCUUAAGCGAAAGAAGUGGAAAUACGCUUCGCUCUCCCAGGUUAGCUGCUGAAGCAAAGCUUCAGACAGAAGCCAAAGAAAGGAGAGAAACUACAAGCAAACUGGAAAAGGAAUCUUGUAAGAAAUCACAUCCUAUUCUAUAUGUGUCCUCCAAAUCAACUCCAGAGACCCAGUGCCCUCAGCAGUAAAGACUUCUCUUUGAUAAAAGUGAGCUACUACUUGCUUAGUGAAGAUUGUCAUUAUCUGAAGGACACCUCCUCGUGGAUUACUGGCACCUACCCAUUCCUCCCUGUCCUGGCAUUUUCAGGAUUCUUUGACCAAGUGCUGAAAACUUCGUUGUGAUUCUAAACUGAAGAGAUUCUUAAAUUGAUGAGCCUUCAUGGAGCUUCUAUGAGUCACAGUGAAUAAACUGUUACAAUUCAUAUAAAUCUAUUGACUGCAUUGUAUCUGGAUUUUUAAAGUCAUGUGAACACUUAAGUAACCUCCAUUCAAAGCCAUAUAUUUGAAAAGAGAACACUGAAAUCAUUAUAUUUUCCUAUGUACUUUCUUACUUAGUUUUUCAGUGUUGUAAAAAUAGGAAAUUUGGCUAUAUAUCUAUCUCUAUAUCUAUAUGUAUAUAUAUAUAGAUGUAUAUAUCUAUAUAUAUGUAUAUAUGUAUAUAAAGAUAUAUAGAUAUAGAGACAGAUAUAUAGUAGCAGAAUUUUGUUCAUGUUUAAAGCACCUACAUUCAUUUUUGUAUUCAUAUACAUGAUUUAGUUUAUGAGUCAAGCAUAUGAAACAUAAUUUAGAAAUUUAAAAUAAAAUUCCAAUAGUUUCUUCCGUUUUUGUUUUCUUACUCUUCGUUUAGAAGUAAGAUGUUAUCAAAAGAGAAUAAAAGGAAAGGGAAAAGAGAGUUCAGAGAUUCUUAAACCUCCAGUAUAUAAUUUUGUGCAUAUAUUUAUAUAUCAUAUAAUUCAUUUCUCUAAUUAAAUGUAUAUAUACGUACAUAUUUUUAAAUAUAUUUAAUUCCAAACUUUCCAAAUAAAGAUUUUUUUUUAGUUUAAAUGAUUAUAGAUUAAUCUAUAACUUAAUUUCAUAUCUAUUUUCUGUAGAUGGGUGAAUUAGUCUUCUCCAGAUAAGUCCAUCCAUGUUAGGAAGGGCAAUGUUUUUUCAGUCUACUAAUUUUAAUGUGAAUCUCAUUCACAAAUACCCUCACAGAAAUAUCCAGAGUAAUAUUUGACCACAUCCUUGGGAACUGUGGCCUGGGCAAUUUGACAUAA
rnacentral:lncRNA from 1 species